UCCGGUUUGGCACCGGCAGUCUCCGUAGAGUCCCCGACAUUACUCGCUGGCAACUAGAAGCGAGGGUUGCGCUCGUUGCGGGACUUAACCCAACAUCUCACGACACGAGCUGACGACAGCCAUGCAGCACCUGUCUCCGCGCCCCGAAGGGACCCUAGAUCUCUCUAGGUAGCACGGGAUGUCAAAGGUGGGUAAGGUUCUGCGCGUUGCUUCGAAUUAAACCACAUGCUCCG
rnacentral:misc_RNA from 1 species